UUGUCAUCUCAUCUGUCACCCCCCCCCCACCACAUUCUAUUACAAUGUGUACAUGACAGGACACAGAAUGUGAACGUGAGAGAGCGAGUGUUGUGAGCAAGAGGAAAUUGAAGAAUUUAGAAUACAUCUAUAUAAAUGUAUAUGAAUGAAAGCGGAUAAUCAACACCACAUGAAGUCGUGUUUGACUGCUUGGCCCCCAGCAGGUGAACGUAGGUCAGAUAGAUGGGUAGGUAAAGCAGCUUGAUCAUUUAUUAUCUUAGAGUCGUCCACAGACACACAAGGGGACAGACAGACAGUGGGAAGAUCUCUAUUGCAUACUCCUUGUCCCUUAAAACCCAGUGGGAUGUUAGCUCUUCUGAAAGGUGACCUUAUGGGCUUUCUGUUUCAAUGACAAUCUACUUGUGGGUUUUGAGGAGACGUCUUCCCAGAUUCUCUCCUCCGACGCCUCCUGGAUAUUUAUGAAAACCUACUCCAACAAACGUUCAUAUUGUUCACCACUGUGUUCCCUCUUCUCAACUGCGGUCACUGUUCCAUAUUAAACUGCUAUCACAGCAUCGGGGAGUCGGGUAUCAUCGCAGAGAUGUUUUAACUCCUGUAGGAUAGCAUGUGUGUGUUCGGUCUAUGGCUAACCUGCUCUGUCAAUUAUAGGGGGUGUUUUUCAUUUUCAUUUUUUUGUUCUACACAAAUUAUUCACUCCUCAGAGACUGUUGAUUGGAUGGUUUAGUUCCUCAGAGACUGUUGAUUGGAUGGUUUAGUUCCUCAGAGACUGUUGAUUGGAUGGUUUAGUUCCUCAGAGACUGUUGAUUGGAUGGUUUAGUUCCUACCACACUUACUCCUCAAAGACUGUUGAUUGGAUGGUUUAGUUCCUCAGAGACUGUUGAUUGGAUGGUUUAGUUCCUCAGAGACUGUUGAUUGGAUGGUUUAGUUCCUCAGAGACUGUUGAUUGGAUGGUUUAGUUCCUCAGAGACUGUUGAUUGGAUGGUUUAGUUCCUCAGAGACUGUUGAUUGGAUGGUUUAGUUCCUCAGAGACUGUUGAUUGGAUGGUUUAGUUCCUCAGAGACUGUUGAUUGGAUGGUUUAGUUCCUCAGAGACUGUUGAUUGGAUGGUUUAGUUCCUCAGAGACUGUUGAUUGGAUGGUUUAGUUCCUACCACACUUACUCCUCAGAGACUGUUGAUUGGAUGGUUUAGUUCCUCAGAGACUGUUGAUUGGAUGGUUUAGUUCCUCAGAGACUGUUGAUUGGAUGGUUUAGUUCCUCAGAGACUGUUGAUUGGAUGGUUUAGUUCCUCAGAGACUGUUGAUUGGAUGGUUUAGUUCCUCAGAGACUGUUGAUUGGAUGGUUUAGUUCCUCAGAGACUGUUGAUUGGAUGGUUUAGUUCCUACCACACUUACUCCUCAGAGAUUGUUGAUUGGAUGGUUCAGUUCCUCAGAGACUGUUGAUUGGAUGGUUUAGUUCCUCAGAGACUGUUGAUUGGAUGGUUUAGUUCCUCAGAGACUGUUGAUUGGAUGGUUUAGUUCCUACUUACGGUGCCAUGUGACCUCCUGCUUUAUGCCAACGGACCCGUGGCUCAGUUGUUUUGAGUUGCACAUCCAGGGAGAAGCUUCAUAAAGUAUGUAUAACACUACAUAAAGGAGGUAAUUAGACAUGUUACACAGGAGGACCAUAGAAGAUCCACAAGAAUGGUAUAAAAAGGGAGUGUUUUUUAUUAUCUUCUAAAAGGCAGGUCUGAAAGUAGGGAGUGUUUUUAAUCUUCUAAAAGGCAGGUCUGAAAGUAGGGAGUGUUUUCUUCUAAAAGGCAGGUCUGAAUGUAGGGAGUGUUUUCUUCUAAAAGGCAGGUCUGAAUGUAGGGAGUGUUUUUUUCUUCUAAAAGGCAGGUCUGAAAGUAGGGAGUGUUUUCUUCUAAAAGGCAGGUCUGAAAGUAGGGAGUGUUGUCUUCUUCUAAAAGGCAGGUCUGAAAGUAGGGAGUGUUGUCUUCUAAAAGGCAGGUCUGAAAGUAGGGAGUGUUUUUAAUCUUCUAAAAGGCAGGUCUGAAUGUAGGGAGUGUUUUUUUCUUCUAAAAGGCAGGUCUGAAAGUAGGGAGUGUUUUUUUCUUCUAAAAGGCAGGUCUGAAAGUAGGGAGUGUUUUUUAUUAUCUUCUAAAAGGCAGGUCUGAAAGUAGGGAGUGUUUUUUAUUAUCUUCUAAAAGGCAGGUCUGAAAGUAGGGAGUGUUUUUUAUUAUCUUCUAAAAGGCAGGUCUGAAAGUAGGGAGUGUUUUUUAUUAUCUUCUAAAAGGCAGGUCUGAAAGUAGGGAGUGUUUUUUAUUAUCUUCUAAAAGGCAGGUCUGAAUGUAGGGCGUGUUUUUAAUCUUCUAAAAGGCAGGUCUGAAAGUAGGGAGUGUUUUUUUCUUCUAAAAGGCAGGUCUGAAAGAAGGGAGUGUUUUUUUUCUUCUAAAAGGCAGGUCUGAAAGUAGGGAGUGUUUUUUUCUUCUAAAAGGCGGGUCUGAAUGUAGGGAGUGUUUUCUUCUAAAAGGCAGGUCUGAAUGUAGGGAGUGUUUUCUUCUAAAAGGCAGGUCUGAAAGUAGGGAGUGUUUUCUUCUAAAAGGCAGGUCUGAAAGUAGGGAGUGUUUUUUUCUUCUAAAAGGCGGGUCUGAAUGUAGGGAGUGUUUUCUUCUAAAAGGCAGGUCUGAAAGUAGGGAGUGUUUUCUUCUAAAAGGCAGGUCUGAAAGUAGGGAGUGUUUUCUUCUAAAAGGCGGGUCUGAAAGUAGGGAGUGUUUUCUUCUAAAAGGCAGGUAUGAAAGUAGGGAGUGUUUUUAAUCUUCUAAAAGGCAGGUCUGAAAGUAGGGAGUGUUGUCUUCUAAAAGGCAGGUCUGAAAGUAGGGAGUGUUUUUAAUCUUCUAAAAGGCAGGUCUGAAAGUAGGGAGUGUUUUUAAUCUUCUAAAAGGCAGGUCUGAAUGUAGGGAGUGUUGUCUUCUUCUAAAAGGCAGGUCUGAAAGUAGGGAGUGUUUUUAAUCUUCUAAAAGGCAGGUCUGAAAGGAGGGAGUGUUUUCUUCUAAAAGGCAGGUCUGAAAGUAGGGAGUGUUUUCUUCUUCUAAAAGGCAGGUCUGAAAGUAGGGAGUGUUUUUAAUCUUCUAAAAGGCAGGUCUGAAAGUAGGGAGUGUUUUCUUCUAAAAGGCAGGUCUGAAAGUAGGUGUUUGCUAUAGAAUCACUUUUACCUUUUACAUCACAUGGUUGAUUUAUAUGGACAGACACGGGGGAGGGGGCUGAUCCUAGAUCAGCACUUUAUGACACCCGACACUGUCCUGCCAGUUUACAUAGUCGUCGCCCCCCGACUGACAGUAUUCCUCAAUUGCAGAGAUGCUAAUCCGACAGAGUGACUGGAGAGAGUCCUCUCUGUAUCUCUGUCUCUGUCUCUCUCUCUCAGACGACCCUUUGUAAUGCCUCCAAUGCUACCUUUAACAAAUGCAAUGUAUGAUUACAUGUUUUAGGUGUUUUGGAAAAUGCUAUAAAAUGUUUUUUUUAAAAACAGGGUAAAGUGUUCAACUUGGGGAGGACAAUAAAAUUAGUUUUGAAUGUAAAAUGAA